rnacentral:rRNA from 1 species
GAUGAACGCUGGCGGCGUGCCUAAUACAUGCAAGUCGAGCGAACAGACGAGGAGCUUGCUCCUCUGACGUUAACGGCGGACGGGUGAGUAACACGUGGAUAACCUACCUAUAAGACUGGGAUAUCUUCGGGAAACCGGAGCUAAUACCGGAUAAUAUAUUGAACCGCAUGGUUCAAUAGUGAAAGACGGUUUUGCUGUCACUUAUAGAUGGAUCCGCGCCGCAUUAGCUAGUUGGUAAGGUAACGGCUUACCAAGGCAACGAUGCGUAGCCGACCUGAGAGGGUGAUCGGCCACACUGGAACUGAGACACGGUCCAGACUCCUACGGGAGGCAGCAGUAGGGAAUCUUCCGCAAAGGGCGAAAGCCUGACGGAGCAACGCCGCGUGAGUGAUGAAGGUCUUCGGAUCGUAAAACUCUGUUAUUAGGGAAGAACAAAUGUGUAAGUAACUAUGCACGUCUUGACGGUACCUAAUCAGAAAGCCACGGCUAACUACGUG